AAUCAACGCUGGCGGCGCGCUUAACACAUGCAAGUCGAACGAGAAAGCCCGCAAGGGUGAGUACAGUGGCGUACGGGUGAGUAACACGUGGGUAAUCUACCUCUGGGUUCGGAAUAACCCUGGGAAACCGGGGCUAAUACUGGAUGAGCUCGCGAGAGGAAAGGCGAAAGUCGCCGAGAGAGGAGCCCGCGGCCGAUUAGCUAGUUGGUAGGGUAACGGCCUACCAAGGCAAUGAUCGGUAGCCGGCCUGAGAGGGCACACGGCCACACUGGCACUGAAACACGGGCCAGACUCCUACGGGAGGCAGCAGUGGGGAAUCUUGCACAAUGGGGGAAACCCUGAUGCAGCGACGCCGCGUGAGCGAUGAAGCCCUUCGGGGUGUAAAGCUCUUUCGGCCGGAACGAUAAUGACGGUACCGGCAGAAGAAGCUGCGGCUAACUACGUGCCAGCAGCCGCGGUAAUACGUAGGCAGCGAGCGUUGUUCGGAGUUACUGGGCGUAAAGAGUGCGUAGGCGGUUGGCUAAGUUUGGUGUGAAAUCUCCCGGCUCAACUGGGAGGGUGCGCCGAAAACUGGCUGGCUAGAGUGUGGGAGAGGUAAGCGGAAUUCCUGGUGUAGCGGUGAAAUGCGUAGAUAUCAGGAGGAACACCUGCGGUGUAGACGGCUUACUGGACCAUUACUGACGCUGAGGCACGAAAGCGUGGGGAGCAAACAGGAUUAGAUACCCUGGUAGUCCACGCCCUAAACGAUGCAUACUUGGUGUGGGCAGUUCAUUCUGUCCGUGCCGGAGCUAACGCGUUAAGUAUGCCGCCUGGGGAGUACGGUCGCAAGGCUG
rnacentral:rRNA from 1 species